ACAGGAAGAACUACAUGGACACAUAUUGUUUAAUAAAAACAUGGACACGUAUUGUUUGAGUCCAAAACAAUCACGUACGAACUGAUGCAUGUCCGAAUUGGAAAGCAAAAAAGGGAAAAUAAAAAACAAAGCGCGUACACAUAUCCAAAUCCAAGAGUAAUACAAACUCCAGGAGCCACACGUUUGCAUCCUUUUAAUACAUGGACAAUAUGGACUAGGCAAUUGGCAAAAAAACAAUUGUCUCUCCAAUAGAGGAUCAAAGCUGGUCUCUUUUCUCACAUGAUCCAUCUCUUCUUUCCUGAAGCAGGUUACACGUCCCUUGCCACACACGUUUUUUAAAGAAGAUCAAUUGCUAUGGUUUCCAAAUUCCUGGCGCUAUAGCCAUCACUUAUGAUCCUUCCUUCCCUGUCGUUGGCGAGGCACCCGCUGAAGCGCUUGAGCAGCCUACGAGAAGAAUAGGGCAGGUUCAAAUCAGCAGCAUGAGGGAUAAGGCGGCCAUGACUAAGGUGACAUAUUGAGGAGCAUGACGUAGCGAUAGGGAGGCAGAGAUUGCUUCUUCGGCCUUCGUCCACUUCUUCGCCUUGCACAUGCAUACCCACCCACACCGUUGCCUCCAAGCUAGGAUGAAUGUAACAACGGUCCAGCGGCAAAAACUUUGGUCUGAGACACAUCCGCCUACAAGCCACCAUAGCUUACGGCUAUGUGAUGCUCGAGCUCUGACUCUUCUUUGGAUCAUCAAUUCUCAGGUUUGUUCAUCUUCUGCGUACCUCAAUUUCGUGGCUCCUGGAACACACAGAUAUGCGUAGUUGAGAUGUUAGAUUCUCCAUGAAUGUUGUUAGAGCCUUAGACUAAUGAUGUGACGCAAGACCAUUGCAUAGCUACCUCUACUCUGAUCGGAUUUAUACACCAAGGUUAAUCUUAUUUGCAAAGCUAUAAAAAAAUAUCUACAUUAUUUUUACAACAAAAAUGCCUGACUGUGUAUUUAUGGAAUUGUACAAAAUUUAUUUACAUAUUCAUCAUAGCAAAAAUGUGUCAUUGAUUAUGCACAUUACAUAGGUGAAUUCAUCUCCAUAUUUGGAUGCCAAUGGAUUAUUCACCCAAAUGAAGCAUGUGGAAUCAAGAAUAACCAAAAAAAUCACAAACUAGCUUCUGUCCCAUAAUAUAAGACGUUUUUGGCAUUGUGUACUACCAGAAAACGUCAUAUAUUAUCGAACAGAGGGAGUAAUGGAACCAUAUCUGGAUUAUUAUGUCUCUUAACUUCCUCGGGUUGCUAUUGGGUGAUUUUUUAAGGAUUUUUCUUUCACAACAAUAGCUAUAAUAGAUUUGUUGCAACAAAAUAUGCAGAUGAUCAUGUUGUGAUUGUUGCAAACUAACUACAAAAUAAACUGACAAGAACUUUCAUAUUAUAUUUAAUCUGCAGUGACAAUUGUGGUAUAUAUCUAUAAACUCUAACACCUGGUAAGCAUAUUCUACUAAUUUGAACAAGAACUUCCAUAUUAUACUUACUCUGGUCCUUCCUUCCCUGUCGCCGGCAAGGCACCCACUGAAGCACUCGAGCAGCCCAGGAGAAGAAGAGUAGGGAAGGUUCAAAUCAGUAGCAUGAGGGCUAAGGUGGCCAUGACUAAGGUGACAUAUUGAGAAGCAGGACGCAGCGAUAGGGAGGCAGAGAUUGCUUCUUCGGCCUUCGUCCACUUCUUCGCCCUGCACAUGCAUAUCUUCCCGCACCGUUUCCUCCAAGCUAGGAUGAAUGUAACCACGGUCCAGCGGCAACAACUUAGGUCUGAGACACAUCCGCCCACAAGCCACC
rnacentral:lncRNA from 1 species